rnacentral:rRNA from 1 species
UACGGAGGGGGCUAGCGCUGUUCGGAAUUACUGGGCGUAAAGCGCACGUAGGCGGCUUUGUAAGUUAGAGGUGAAAGCCCAGGGCUCAACCCUGGAAUUGCCUUUAAGACUGCAUCGCUUGAACAUCGGAGAGGUAAGUGGAAUUCCGAGUGUAGAGGUGAAAUUCGUAGAUAUUCGGAAGAACACCAGUGGCGAAGGCGACUUACUGGACGAUUGUUGACGCUGAGGUGCGAAAGCGUGGGGAGCAAACAGG